GAGGAUGGCACCCAGACAGGGGACGAAAUGUCUGCAACACAAACUCCCAGCUCGGCGAACACCACCACAAUAACUAUGGAGAGUUAUUUAAAGCACACCAGUGAUAACACUCAGUUGCACCUUGUGCUGACAAUCAGACCGAAUUGCCCUGCACUCUCGCUGCGAUACUUGUGGAAAGUGUAAACUGGAAGAUCAGUUUUGUAAAGUCGCCAGAGCCACCAGACGGAUGCUGUCUACGUACGCGCUGCCUGGAGUGGGUUGAUUGCCUCAAACUUGUGGAAGGAAAUCUAUGUUUAUUAAAUCUCCCCGGAGGGGGAAAAAAAAACCUUGUAAUUGCUUUAGUUUACGUUAAGUAGCUAUUUCUUUGAUCAGAACAUGUUCUGAUCGGUCUGGAUUAUCGAAAAGCAGAGCUGGAUUAUGAUCUGCGGGAAGAAGUGACUUCGCUCGAAGUGACCCAUCUCACUGUUCGAGCGCAUCCGCUGACUGUGGUGCCCGGUAUAUACGGUAUUGAGGAGUUACUGGUUCUGGUGCACAGAUCAUUGGAAGAACCAAUGCAUCUCAAAGUUUCAAGCAACAUACUCCACCCAUCAUUUCAAGGGAUGACUGACACAGAUUAAAGAGGUUGAUGCAUUUGUAACCAAUGAAGAGCAGAAAGCAAGGGGUCAUCCAGUGAGCUUUCCAAAGUGUAAAUUAAAACAUUAUUGGCAGUAUUGAUGUUUGCAUUUCUCAGUUCUAACAAUGCACGUGAACACAGUCACUCACUCCCGCCGGCGCGCUGCUGGAGAGUCCCUCCCCUCCAAGGGCCGGUGCCUCGACCUGUACACUCCCUUUUUUUUCUUUUUUUUUUCUUUGUUUUUUUCUUUGUGUGUGUGCGCAGGUGUGAGACAUAGUGAAAG